GAUGUAGCUUAGUUGGUUAAAGCGCCAGAUUGUGGCUCUGGAGACCGUGGGUUCGAGUCCCAUCUUC
rnacentral:tRNA from 1 species